UACGUAGGGUGCGAGCGUUGUCCGGAAUUAUUGGGCGUAAAGAGCUCGUAGGCGGUUUGUUGCGUCUAUCGUGAAAACCUGCAGCUUAACUGUGGGCUUGCGGUGGAUACGGGCAGACUUGAGUUCGGUAGGGGAGACUGGAAUUCCUGGUGUAGCAGUGAAAUGCGUAGAUAUCAGGAGGAACACCGAUGGCGAAGGCAGGUCUCUGGGCUGACACUGACGCUCAUGCACGAAAGCGUGGGGAGCAAACAGG
rnacentral:rRNA from 1 species